AGAGAGAGAGAGCUCAUGUGUGGGGGAGAGGGGCAAAAGAAAGAGAGAGAGAAUCUUACGCAGGCUCUACGCUUGGCAUGGAGCUGGACGCAAGGUUUGAUCCCACGACACUGGGAUCAUGACCUGAGCUAAAAUUAAGAGUUGG